CUACCACAUCCAAGGAUGGCAGCAGGCGCGCAAAUUACCCAAUCCCGACACGGGGAGGUAGUGACAAUAAAUAACAAUACGGGGUUCUUUCGGAUCUCGUAAUUGGAAUGAAUACAAUNUAAAUCUCUUAACGAGGAACAAUUGGAGGGCAAGUCUGGUGCCAGCAGCCGCGGUAAUUCCAGCUCCAAUAGCGUAUAUNAAAGUNGUUGCAGUUAAAAAGCUCGUAGUUGAAUUUCGGGAUCAAAUUGUGGGUCGUGCCUCGGUACGCACUGGCGCUAUUGGUUCCUCCCUUCUGAAGAACCGCGAUGUCAUAAAUUUGGUGUCACGGGGAAUCAGGACUGUUACUUUGAAAAAAUUAGAGUGUUUAAAGCAGGCUCGCGCUUGAAUACAUNAGCAUGGAAUAAUGAAAUAGGACGUUUGAUUCUAUUUUGUCGGUUCCUAGGAUCGACGUAAUGAUUAAUAGGGAUANGUGGGGGCAUUAGUAUUCAAUUGUCAGAGGUGAAAUUCUUGGAUUAAUUGAAGACUANCUACUGCGAAAGCAUUUGCCAGGGAUGUUUCAUUAAUUCAGGACGAAAGUAGGGGAUCGAAGACGAAUAGAUACCGUCGUAGUCUUACCCAUAACAAGCCCAAUUAGAUAUCGAUUAAUGUAAUUUUUUAAUGACUCAUUCGCCCCUUACGGGAAACCAAAGUGUUUGGUUCCGGGGAAUAAUGUUCCCAAGCCUGAAACUUAAAGAAAUGAACGAAGGGCCACCACCAGGGUUGGAGCUUCCGGCUUAAUUGACUCAACACGGGGAACUCACCAGGUCCAGACAUAGUAAGAAUGACCAGAUUGAGAGCUCUUUCUUGAUUCUAUGGUGUUUGGUGCAUGCCCGUUCUUAGUUGGUGGAGUGAUUUGUCUGGUUAAUUCCGUUAACGAACGAGACCUUAACCUGCUAAAUAGCUAGGCUUAGCUUCGGUUAGGCCGUCAGCUACUUAGAGGGACUAUCGGUGUUUAACCGAUGGAAGUUUGAGGCAAUAACAGGUCUGUGAUGCCCUUAGAUGUUCUGCGCCGCACGCGCGCUACACUGAUGAAGUCAACGAGUUCUUAUCCUUUAUCGGAAGAUUUGGGUAAUCUUUUGAAACUUCAUCGUGCUGGGGAUAGAGCUUUGCAAUUAUUGCUCUUAAACGAGGAAUCCCUAGUAAGCACAAGUCAUCAGCUUGUGCUGAUUACGU
rnacentral:rRNA from 1 species